CAGGCCGAACCAAGGCGAAACCGCGAAUGGCUCAUUAAAUCAGUUAUGGUUCAUUGGAUCUUACCUUGUCCUACUGGGAUAACUGUGGUAAUUCUAGAGCUAAUACGUGCUUCCAAGCCCCGACCGCAAGGGAAGGGCGUUUUUAUUAGAUCAAAACCAAUCGGGCUGCGGUCCGUCCUCACUGUGGUGACUCUGAAUAACUUUGAGCUGAGCGCACGGUCUUCGUACCGGCGCCGUGUCCUUCAAGUGUCUGCCUUAUCAGCUGUCGAUUGUAGGCUAUGCGCCUACAAUGGCUAUAACGGGUAACGGGGAAUCAGGGUUCGAUUCCGGAGAGGGAGCCUGAGAAACGGCUACCACAUCUAAGGAAGGCAGCAGGCACGCAAAUUACCCAUUCCCGGCACGGGGAGGUAGUGACGAAAAAUAACGAUGCGGGACUCUUCCGAGGCCUCGCAAUCGGAAUGAGUACACUUUAAAUCCUUUAACGAGGAUCUAUUGGAGGGCAAGUCUGGUGCCAGCAGCCGCGGUAAUUCCAGCUCCAAUAGCGUAUAUUAAAGUUGCUGCGGUUAAAAAGCUCGUAGUUGGAUCUCAGUUCCGGACCGACGGUUCACCGCCCGGUGCUUACUGUCGGCUUCCGAACAGCCACNANNNCGCCGGCUCGGUCGGGGNUGCUCUUCAUCGAGUGUCCCGGCGCGGCCGGCACGUUUACUUUGAAAAAAUUAGAGUGCUCAGCGCAGGCUGCUAUGCCCGAAUAAUCUGUGCAUGGAAUAAUGGAAUAGGACCUCGGUUCUAUUUUGUUGGUUUUCGGAACCCGAGGUAAUGAUUAAUAGGUACUGUCGGGGGCAUUCGUAUUGCGACGUUAGAGGUGAAAUUCUU
rnacentral:rRNA from 1 species